GGGUCCGUAAUAUAGCCCA
rnacentral:siRNA from 1 species